rnacentral:rRNA from 1 species
AUGGGUACCUGCCGCUCUUGGCGUGCUGCAGCCUAUUCCUUCUCAUCUGCAUAUGCCUUCACCUUCCCACCCCUCCACCUCAAGCCAGAUUUUUGCUAUACACGUAAGCGGAGCAAGCUUGGUGUGUUCAGCCUUUUACGCGAUUGCAAAUGGCUGCUUGCUGAUCCUGCCAAGAGAAACUUAUCCCUUCGCUGCUCGGUGGCCCGAAAUAGUCCAAAUUGCCUACUGUAUUUGGGAUGCUCAUAUGGGUAUCUUAUCUUCUCCUACCGGGAGCACUGCCUCCUUGCCGAUGUGUACGCUGGCACUAAGGUGAAGCCUCCCAAAAUCCAGUCCAGUAGCAACCUGGAAAUCUACUUUGACUUCCUUGUGGCCCCACUCAGUUCACCAAGCUCAUGCCUCAUCCUUUUCUCAAAAACAUCCAUGUUCCAAUGGCAUGUUGGGGCAAAAUCUUGGUCAGAGCACCCUCUCGGGCUUGAUGGUGCAGGCACAUAA